ACAGCGUGUCGUCGGCGUAGUAGAUGACC
rnacentral:sRNA from 1 species